rnacentral:rRNA from 1 species
GAUGAACGCUCGCGGCAGGCCUAAUACAUGCAAGUCGGACGGGAUCCAUUGAUAGCUUGCUAUCAAUGGUGAGAGUGGCGCACGGGUGCGUAACGCGUGAGCAACCUGCCUCCAUCAGGGGGAUAGCCUCUCGAAAGAGAGAUUAACACCGCAUAAUAUCAACAGUUCGCAUGUUCAGUUGAUUAAAUAUUUAUAGGAUGGAGAUGGGCUCGCGUGACAUUAGCUAGUUGGUAGGGUAACGGCUUACCAAGGCGACGAUGUCUAGGGGCUCUGAGAGGAGAAUCCCCCACACUGGUACUGAGACACGGACCAGACUCCUACGGGAGGCAGCAGUAAGGAAUAUUGGUCGAUGGGCGGAAGCCUGAACCAGCCAUGCCGCGUGCAGGAUGACUGCCCUAUGGGUUGUAAACUGCUUUUGUCCAGGAAUAAACCUAAAUACGAGUAUUUAGCUGAAUGUACUGGAAGAAUAAGGAUCGGCUAACUCCGUG